rnacentral:rRNA from 1 species
UACAGAGACCUCAAGCGUUAUCCGGAUUUAUUGGGCGUAAAGCGUCCGCAGGUGGUUUGGUACGUCUCGCGUCAAAUGCCAGGGCUCAACCCUUGCACUGCGCGGGAAACGGCCAGGCUCGAGACUGGGAGAGGUAAGCGGAAUUGCUGGUGUAGUAGUAAAAUGCGUUAAUAUCAGCAAGAACACCAAAGGCGAAGGCAGCUUACUAGAACAGUUCUGACACUCAUGGACGAAAGCGUGGGGAGCGAAAGGGAUUAGAACU